rnacentral:rRNA from 1 species
UACGAAGGGGGCUAGCGUUGUUCGGAAUUACUGGGCGUAAAGCGCGCGCAGGCGGCUCUUCAAGUCAGGGGUGAAAGCCCAGAGCUCAACUCUGGAAUUGCCUUUGAGACUGUAGAGCUUGAGUACGGGAGAGGUGAGUGGAACUGCGAGUGUAGAGGUGAAAUUCGUAGAUAUUCGCAAGAACACCAGUGGCGAAGGCGGCUCACUGGCCCGUUACUGACGCUGAGGCACGAAAGCGUGGGGAGCAAACAGG